AUUGAACGCUGGCGGCAUGCCUUACACAUGCAAGUCGAACGGUAACGCGGGGCAACCUGGCGACGAGUGGCGAACGGGUGAGUAAUGUAUCGGAACGUGCCCAGUUGUGGGGGAUAACUGCUCGAAAGAGCAGCUAAUACCGCAUACGACCUGAGGGUGAAAGCGGGGGAUCGCAAGACCUCGCGCAAUUGGAGCGGCCGAUAUCAGAUUAGGUAGUUGGUGGGGUAAAGGCUCACCAAGCCAACGAUCUGAGGCCGGUCUGAGAGGACGACCAGCCGAACUGGGACGGGGACACGGCCCAGACUCCUACGGGAGGCAGCAGUGGGGAAUUUUGGACAAUGGACGAAAGUCUGAUCCAGCCAUGCCGCGUGCGGGAAGAAGGCCUUCGGGUUGUAAACCGCUUUUGUCAGGGAAGAAACGCUCUGGGUUAAUACCUCGGGGUAAUGACGGUACCUGAAGAAUAAGCACCGGCUAACUACAUGCCAGCCGCCGCCGUAAUAC
rnacentral:rRNA from 1 species